rnacentral:rRNA from 1 species
UUCUUAACACCGAGACGUGAUGACGAGUGUCUACGGACAUGAAGUGACCAAUACCACGCUUCCAGGAAAAGCCACUAAGCUUCAGUUGAAUCAGAACCGUACCGCAAACCGACACAGGUGGGCAGGAUGAGAAUUCUAAGGCGCUUGAGAGAACUCGGGAGAAGGAACUCGGCAAAUUGAUACCGUAACUUCGGGAGAAGGUAUGCCCUCUAAUGUUAAGGACUUGCUCCGUAAGCAUUUGAGGGUCGCAGAGAAUCGGUGGCUGCGACUGUUUAUUAAAAACACAGCACUCUGCUAACACGAAAGUGGACGUAUAGGGUGUGACGCCUGCCCGGUGCUGGAAGGUUAAUUGAAGAUGUGCAAGCAUCGGAUCGAAGCCCCAGUAAACGGCGGCCGUAACUAUAACGGUCCUAAGGUAGCGAAAUUCCUUGUCGGGUAAGUUCCGACCCGCACGAAUGGCGUAACGAUGGCCACACUGUCUCCUCCCGAGACUCAGCGAAGUUGAAAUGGUUGUGAAGAUGCAAUCUCCCCGCUGCUAGACGGAAAGACCCCGUGAACCUUUACUGUAGCUUUGCAUUGGACUUUGAAGUCACUUGUGUAGGAUAGGUGGGAGGCUUUGAAGCAGAGACGCCAGUCUCUGUGGAGCCGUCCUUGAAAUACCACCCUGGUGACUUUGAGGUUCUAACCCAGACUCGUUAUCCGGGUCGGGGACCGUGCAUGGUAGGCAGUUUGACUGGGGCGGUCUCCUCCCAAAGAGUAACGGAGGAGUUCGAAGGUUACCUAGGUCCGGUCGGAAAUCGGACUGAUAGUGCAAUGGCAAAAGGUAGCUUAACUGCGAGACCGACAAGUCGAGCAGGUGCGAAAGCAGGACAUAGUGAUCCGGUGGUUCUGAAUGGAAGGGCCAUCGCUCAACGGAUAAAAGGUACUCCGGGGAUAACAGGCUGAUUCCGCCCAAGAGUCCAUAUCGACGGCGGAGUUUGGCACCUCGAUGUCGGCUCAUCACAUCCUGGGGCUGUAGUCGGUCCCAAGGGUAUGGCUGUUCGCCAUUUAAAGUGGUACGUGAGCUGGGUUUAAAACGUCGUGAGACAGUUUGGUCCCUAUCUGCAGUGGGCGUUGGAAGUUUGACGGGGGCUGCUCCUAGUACGAGAGGACCGGAGUGGACGAACCUCUGGUGUACCGGUUGUUUCGCCAGAAGCAUAGCCGGGUAGCUAAGUUCGGAAGAGAUAAGCGCUGAAAGCAUCUAAGCGCGAAACUCGCCCAAAGAUGAGACUUCCCUUGUGGUUUAACCAUACUAAAGAGUCGUUCGAGACCAGGACGUUGAUAGGUUGGGUGUGGAAGAGUGGUAACACUUGAAGCUAACCAAUACUAAUUGCUCGUGAGGCUUGACUCU